rnacentral:rRNA from 1 species
AGAGUUUGAUCCUGGCUCAGAUUGAACGCUGGCGGCAUGCUUUACACAUGCAAGUCGAACGGUAACAGGUUAAGCUGACGAGUGGCGAACGGGUGAGUAAUGCAUCGGAACGUGCCCGGUCGUGGGGGAUAACGCAGCGAAAGCUGCGCUAAUACCGCAUACGAUCUGAGGAUGAAAGCGGGGGACCGUAAGGCCUCGCGCGAUCGGAGCGGCCGAUGUCAGAUUAGGUAGUUGGUGGGGUAAAGGCUCACCAAGCCGACGAUCUGUAGCUGGUCUGAGAGGACGACCAGCCACACUGGGACUGAGACACGGCCCAGACUCCUACGGGAGGCAGCAGUGGGGAAUUUUGGACAAUGGGCGCAAGCCUGAUCCAGCAAUGCCGCGUGCAGGAAGAAGGCCUUCGGGUUGUAAACUGCUUUUGUACGGAGCGAAAAGGCUUUCUCUAAUACAGGAGGCUGAUGACGGUACCGUAAGAAUAAGCACCGGCUAACUACGUGCCAG